rnacentral:rRNA from 1 species
GACAAACGCUGGCGGGGUGCGUGAGACAUGCAAGUCGAACGAGGUGCCAUCGGGCUUGCUCGAUGGCUACCUAGUGGCGGACGGCUGAGUAACGCGUAGGUGACCUACCCGGAAGUGGGGAAUAACUGCCCGAAAGGGUGGCUAAUACCGCAUACGGUCGACGAUUCGUUUCGUCGUCCAAAGGAGCAAUUCGCUUCCGGAGGGGCCUGCGUCCGAUUAGCUAGUUGGUGGGGUAACGGCNCACCAAGGCGACGAUCGGUAGCUGGUCUGAGAGGAUGAUCAGCCAGACUGGGACUGAGAACGGCCCAGACUCCUACGGGAGGCAGCAGUCGGGAAUUUUGGGCAAUGGGCGCAAGCCUGACCCAGCAACGCCGCGUGAAGGAUGAAGUUUUUCGGAAUGUAAACUUCACAAGAGUGGGAAGAAUAAGUCCUGGCUAACAUCCAGGACGAUGACGGUACCAUUUGUAAGCUCCGGCUAACUCCGUGCCAGCAGCCGGGUAACACCAG